UAGAGUCACUGUCAACCUUCAACCCAUGG
rnacentral:piRNA from 1 species